GGCCAGCCUCCCCAGGUGGGAGUAGCUAUUACCCGCCUCCCGGGCGGCUGCGAGCCGGCCCUCCCCCUGGCCAGGAAGCUGAUACCCGUCUAGGUGGGAGGGGACGCAGGUGGAGAAGGAGUUCCAGCUGCGGCGCUGAUGGUAUCUGUUGUCAAAAGCCCAGACGUCACACCAGGUUAGCGCCUGGUGCCCAUUAUAACACGUGUCAUUAGGAGAAGGGGCACGAUUAAGGCCGAGUGGGUCCAGGCGGCUCCUCCCGGCUCCCUCCUGGCCAGGACUGGCCCUGACAUGGAGGCACAGGGAGAAGGAUUUUGCAACGCCGCCGUGGGUAGCCGUGGCCAGCACCAGGGGCGCCAGGCCAGGCCGUGGACAUCGUCCCCACGAGGACUGGAUCUGGAGUGGGUCGUUGCAGGUGGCAGGGCCUCAGAGCACACAGCGGCCCAGUCUCAGCCUCCCCUUGGCUGGUGACCUUGAGCAAGUGGCCCUCUCUGGCCCUCAGCUUUUUCUCCAGAAAAAAGUGCGAUUAAAGGACCUUUUAAAAGUGA